ACAAAACCACCAGGUGGCGGUACCCCUUUCAUCCCAGCACUUGGGAGGCAGAGGCAAGUAUUUGGAUCUCUGAGUUUUUGGCCUACAUGGUCCACAGAGUGAGUUCCAAGACAGCCAAGGCUACACAGAGAAACCCUGUCCAGAAAAACCAAAAACCAACCAAACAAACAAAAAGCAAAAAGAAAAAGAAAACAAAAAACAAACAAAAAAGGAAAUAUUUUGUGAAUAAACUUAAGCCAAUCCUAGUGACGAUAAAUAUUAAUUCGGAUAAAUUUGGAAACACAGAAGUCAGUCAUAUACUGGGGUUAUAAUGGCUAAUUUCUUACAGUUUUGUAAAGUGGUACAUUUCAAUGAAGCUAUGCAAGCCAAACUUGAUUAGCAAGCUAAUAUAAAAUCAGUCAGGACCUGUUUCUGUAAGCUAUAGGCUCUGGUCAACUCUUAGGAAAUAGCACACGUAUCUAAGCAUUUCUUAGGUAUACUUACUUACAUUUAGUUGUGUUUUAGUUUAUGAAAGCUGUCAAAAUAAAAUACUACAAUUUAAAUAUUACUGUCACAGUCUGGAAGAGGAGGUCAAAUCAAGCAAUGGCCGGGUUGCUUUUUUAUUUUAUUUUAUUGUUUUCUGUCCUGAAGCUCUUCUUCUUUGUUCGUAGGUCAUUGUCCUUUUCCUGCUUGUCCACAUAGCUAUUGCUGUGUGAAUAGAGUGGUAGCUCUAGUGUCUCUUACAGCCCUGGUGGGUCAGUGCACUCCCUGUUAAUUAUAGUCUUAAAAACUAUUGCCCGGGUUGGGGAU
rnacentral:lncRNA from 1 species